rnacentral:rRNA from 1 species
UUUAUGGAGAGUUUGAUCCUGGCUCAGGAUGAACGCUGGCGGCGUGCCUAAUACAUGCAAGUCGAGCGAACAGACGAGGAGCUUUCUCCUCUGACGUUAGCGGCGGACGGGUGAGUAACACGUGGAUAACCUACCUAUAAGACUGGGAUAACUUCGGGAAACCGGAGCUAAUACCGGAUAAUAUAUUGAACCGCAUGGUUCAAUAG